UUUGUUGGCAGUAGGAAUCCGAGCUUUGACAAAUGAUCGGGGGUGACGCCGAAUAUCCCUGCAUCAAUAUGACGACCCUCUGCAGCAACCCGCCAUCCAGGGAAACACUGUGGUAAAGAACUAGUUAGUGCACAACCAGGACUAGUGCUGAGACCUCCCAGCAGACAGUCCACGUGGAGCUCCAGGCCAUGGGGCAGUGUCUCCUGCCACCCUCACACCAAACCUGCGAGGAGCUGGGCCCUGUACCCGGGGGGUGCACAGCUGCCACCGGACUGGCUGAGGUGAGCAAGGCCACACAGCCUGUGGGCGGCAGAGCCAGGCCCGGGCCCUGCACAUGGGUCAGGAUGGAGAUGAAGGAUGGCCCUGCUAUUAUUACAACUUGUCAAGAAACCUCAUUGGUUUGAUCAAUCCAGAC
rnacentral:lncRNA from 12 species